rnacentral:rRNA from 1 species
GGUCAAGCGGGUGAAGGCGCACGGUGGAUGCCUUGGCAUCAAGGGCCGAAGAAGGGCGUAGUAAGGCUACGAUAAGCCCCGGUGAGCUGCCAAGCAAGCUUAGCCGAGGAUUCCCGAAUGGGGUAACCCGUCCUUCCUAAAGAAGGACACCCCCGGCUGAACACAUAGGCCGGGUGGAGGUAAGCAGGGGAAGUGAAACAUCUCAGUACCCUGAGGAAAAGAAAUUAUUCCCUGAGUAGUGGCGAACGAAAGGGGAAAAGCCUAAACUCUGUCAGCUUAGUGGUUUCAGGACCUAUGCUGGCAGAGGGUUGUAAGGCAGAUAGAGCCGAACCUGGAAUAGGCUGAGGAGUUAACAAUCGAACCCCAGUUGAAAGUUUCUGGAAAGGACUGCCACAGAGGGUAACAGCCCCGUAAGUGAAAGGGAGAGACUCCUUAUCUGUACUUGAGUACCACGGGACACGAGAAAUCUUGUGGGAAGCUACCCUGACCACAGGGUAAGGCUAAAUACCCUUGAUGACCGAUAGUGAACUAGUACCGUGAGGGAAAGGUGAAAAGCACCCCGAGAGGGGAGUGAAAGAGACCUGAAACCGUGUGCUGACAAGCAGUCAGAGCCCGAGGCAACUCGGGUGAUGGCGUGCCUAUUGAAGAAUGAGCCAGCGAGUUAAUCUGUGUGGCUGGUUAAGCGAUUCAGUCGCGAAGCCGAAGCGAAAGCGAGUCUGAACAGGGCGAUUUAGUGGCACAGAUUAGACCCGAAGCCGGGUGAGCUAUCCAUGGCCAGGGUGAAGCCCCGAUAAAAUUGGGGUGGAGGCCCGAACUCGUCAGCGUUGCAAAGCUGUGAGAUGAGCUGUGGAUAGGGGUGAUAUGCCAAACGAACCCGGGGAUAGCUGGUACUCCCCGAAAUGUAUAUAGGUACAGCCUCAGAAAUUAGCUAGUGGAGGUAGGGCUCUGGAUGGACUAGGGGGAUAAUAUCUUACCAACUCCAACCAAACCUCAAAUGCCAUUAGCCGUAAUCUGGGAGUGAGACUACGGGGGCUAAGCUCCGUGGUCGAGAGGGAAACAGCCCAGACCAUCAGAUAAGGUCCCUAAUAACGGACUAAGUGGUAAAGGAAGUAGUGUCGCAGAGACAGCCAGGAGGUUGGCUUAGAAGCAGCCAUCCUUGAAAGAGUGCGUAACAGCUCACUGGUUAAGGGGUGUUGCACCGAAAAUCCAACGGGGCUCAAGUCCGUCACCGAAGCUAUGGCUCUCCUUCUUUGAAGGGGAGGGUAGGGGAGCGUUCCCUUAACCAUGAAGCUGCUACGAAAGUAGUGGUGGAGUUAAGGGAAGUGAGAAUGCUGGCAUGAGUAGCGCAAGGUGUGUGAGAAACACACCCACCGAAGACCUAAGGUUUCCUACGCAAGGUUAAUCCGCGUAGGGUUAGUCGGGCCUAAGUCGAGGCCGAAAGGCGUAGACGAUGGACAACGGGUUAUUAUUCCCGUACCGCUUUUAUUGAGGUAAAGGGGAACGCGGAAGGGCGAACCAGGCAUACCCAAUGGACAUGGUGUGUUCCUUACCUGAGGUGAAGCCGGGGCAGGCAAAUCCACUCCGGAUAUUAUAGCUGAGGGUAAGGGGAAGUUGAGGGGAAACCCGAUGCGACCUGGAUGAACCCAGGCCGCCUAGAAAAACCUCGUUACCGGUGAAGUAAGAGCGUCCGUACUGCAAACCGACUCUGGUAGGUAGGGAUAAAAGUCCCAAGGUGAUCGAGAUAACCCUCGUUAAGGAACUCGGCAAUCUAACCCCGUAACUUAGGGAAAAGGGGUGCCCUCUUUGUGAGGGUGACAUUAAAUUGGCCCAAGUGACUGUUUAACUAAAACACAGGUUUCUGCUAAAGCGUAAGCUGAAGUAUAGGAGCUGAGACCUGCCCAGUGCUGGUAGGUUCAGGGGAGGAGUUAGCGCAAGCGAAGCCCUGAACUGAAGCCCCAGUGAACGGCGGCCGUAACUAUAACGGUCCUAAGGUAGCGAAGUCCCUUGUCGGGUAAGUUCCGACCCGCACGAAUGGUGUAACAACUUGGGCGCUGUCUCAACGAGGGGCUCGGCGAAAUUGAAAUACCCGUGAAGAUGCGGGUUACCCGCGACAGGACAAAAAGACCCCGUGGAGCUUUACUACAACUUGGCACUGAGUCUGGGCUUAUCACGUGUAGAAUAGGUGGGAGGCUGAGAAGCCGGGGCGCCAGCCCUGGUGGAGCCGCCGUUGAAAUACCACUCUUGAUGAGUUUAGUCUCUAACCCUGGAGCAAGCCAGGGGACAGUGUCUGGCGGGUAGUUUGACUGGGGAGGUCGCCUCCUAAAAGGUAACGGAGGCGCCCAAAGGUCUCCUCAGAGUGAAUGGAAAUCACUCGUAGAGUGCAUUGGCAUAAGGAGGCUUGACUGUGAGACCAACAAGUCGAGCAGGGACGAAAGUCGGGCAAAGUGAUCCCACGGUACCGUGUGGAAGGGCCGUGGCUUAACGGAUAAAAGCUACCCCGGGGAUAACAGGCUUAUCUUGCCCAAGAGUUCAUAUCGACGGCAAGGUUUGGCACCUCGAUGUCGGCUCGUCCCAUCCUGGGGCUGAAGCAGGUCCCAAGGGUCCGGCUGUUCGCCGGUUAAAGGGGCACGCGAGCUGGGUUCAGACCGUCGUGAGACAGGUCGGUCUCUAUCCGUCGUGGGCGUCCGGAGAUUUGAGGGGAGCUCUCUCUAGUACGAGAGGAUUGAGAGGGACAGACCUCUGGUGUUCCAGUUGUCCCGCCAGGGGCAUGGCUGGGUAGCUAACGUCUGGUGUGGAUAAGCGCUGAAAGCAUCUAAGUGCGAAGCCCACCCCAAGAUUAGAUCUCCCAUCCUUCUUCGGAAGGAGUAAGACCGCAGAUAGACUAUCUGUUUGAUAGGCGGUGUGUGUAAGUGCAGUAAUGCAUUUAGCUAAACCGUACUAAUGGUCGAGGGCUUGACCUG